UACGUAGGGUGCAAGCGUUAAUCGGAAUUACUGGGCGUAAAGCGUGCGCAGGCGGUUUUGUAAGGCUGACGUGAAAUCCCCGGGCUCAACCUGGGAAUUGCGUUGGAGACUGCAAGGCUGGAGUCUGGCAGAGGGGGGUAGAAUUCCACGUGUAGCAGUGAAAUGCGUAGAGAUGUGGAGGAACACCGAUGGCGAAGGCAGCCCCCUGGGUCAAGACUGACGCUCAUGCACGAAAGCGUGGGGAGCAAACGGG
rnacentral:rRNA from 1 species